GUGUUCACUUUGGUAGCACAUAUACUAAAAUUGGAUUGAUACUAGAAGAUUAGCAUGGUUCUGAAACAAGAAUGGCAUGCAUAUUUGUGAAGCAUUCUAUAUUUUU